CUAUGGAAAUCUGUACUAAACAAUUUGAUUGGUCUCUUCUCUUCUCAGAGAUAUUUUCUUCCUUUUCAUCAACCGUAAUUUUCUUGGUUAAAUGAGUUCCAAUACUUCUUCAAUGGUUUUGGCAAUUUCUUGAGGCAAUGGCAACAUGUGACUAAAUGCUCAUUCUUAUUCACCUACUUCACAGUAGUUACAUCUGCAAGGCUAACAUAACCAAUACUUGAUGAAUCAAAUUCUCCACAAACUAAACAGGAAUCAUGAGUUUGUUCUUCUUCUAUGGAACAUAUGAGAACAUGUUGGGGAAAUUUUGUUUGUUGAUCAGCACCAUCCAGACACCAAUUAUGCUUUGUUCCAAGAGGUGGUUGUGUUUGAUCAUAAUAAUAUUUUAGUACAUUCAAUUCAACGGAAACACCACAUUCUACCAAUUAUGAUGUAGUUUGCAAUUUUGUAAUUCCUUUGUUGUAAUUAUGACAACUUCAAACCAUAUUAUCACAAUGUGAUCCUUUAGGUGACUA